UAAGAUUUUAGGUCUCACUAGUAUGAUCUCAUCAUAGCCUCAAAAUCAUUGUCUUAAUCUAAGAGGUUCAUCACAAAUAUAAUCAACAGCAUAUGAUGAAACACAAUGCCUUUAUUUAUAUUAAAUGUCAUGUACAUGAUUUGGAAAAUCAAAAGAAAAUCCUUCACAAUAUAUAUUGCGAUUGGCUUGUAGGGCAUCUACUCUUUCA
rnacentral:lncRNA from 1 species